CUGGAUAAGCGGGCCUCGAUCCCGCGAAAAUUUAAUUAACAGCUAAAAACCCAAGCCAGCGGGCUUUUAUCCA
rnacentral:tRNA from 1 species